UCUGUGCUUAAAAGGUGUUGGAUCAGAAAGUCGAAUCUUAUGUUUCACUGCAGUUGUGUGUCCAAAAUCAAGUUCUCCUCUGGCAAAAACUUCAGGGAUGGAAUUAAGAGUAUUUGAAAUUCUAGUUUUCCAUUCCUCGGAGAGUGGAGAAUCAGCAAAGUCAAACUGAAUGUGUUCACUUUGAGUCACUUCAUAAGCAGUACAACAUGUGGCAAUACUGCCUAUUUGUCCUUCAGGUUCUUCUUCCCCUUUAUUGUUAGAGGUAGGAACAGGAGAGGAGACUGACAAAGGGAAAGAGACUUUUGCCAAGACUUGAUGAGCGGGAACAACUAUGUCAUGGUUAGUCUCAUUUUUCAGAAGGAUGGGGACUUUAAAUGAAGUCUGUCGUGGACUUGACAUGAUGUAACUGCAGAGUAUCACACCGCUUGGUAAACCUCGUUGGCUGACUGGCUCUACUAAGAGUAUAGCGCCUUGCUCUGCAGGGACAUUUCUCACACGACCAUCUAAUAUGGCAUGAAGUUGCCUAAUGAGGGGAACAUGAGUACAGUCCUCAGGGAUAUUCAUAUGCUCACUGAAGUCUUCAUACAAAAUAUCCAGAGCAUUUGUUCCAAUCAGGACUGGAAUUUCUGAAUUGGCUCUGUUGUCCGGAACAAUUAGAGCUAGGACUUUGACCAGUUUCUCCUCACCUGUGAAACUCUGAGGGAAAGUGAUGUCGAUCUCAAUAUACCCCAGAUAAGGAACAAUUUGACCCGCAGCUCCUUCUACUUCGAGGAGGUUAUCCAAGGAGAAGAGGGGAUAUGAAGACAAGUGAGUCUCCUGGAAGGAUUUGGAGAUGGUGGUAACUUGCGACCCAGAAUCAAUAAGGCAGGUGUGCUUUAUUUCUCCAAUCGAUAAAUCCACAGCAGCUCUUGAGCCAACUAAUCCACCUGGCAGCUGGGCUUGGCGGUUCCCACCAUGUUGACAGUUAUUUUGACAAUGUUCUUUGGGGGUGGGACUCUUUGGAAUAUUUCUGGUUCCAGUAUGUCCCAUUACUGGAACCUGUUCCAGUUUAACGACUGACUGGUGUGCUUACUCUUCCAUUCUUAUUGUUUAGCCUUCAGUUCUUUGUAUUUCUGAUCAACAGCAGCUUUGUUAAUGGGGUUUUCACAGUUCCUUGCUAUGUGCCCAUCUUCGCCACACCUAAAACAGAACCAAGCUUUAGGCUGAGGUCUUUCUGAAAACUGCCGUGCAACUUGCUGAACUUGGCUUUCUGCUGUUGGCAGUUCGUGGUUUUCUUCAGCAGCCUUCUGGUUUUUUUUUUUCUGCUUUUUGGAGGGUUUUGUGGAGAGCUGUAAUUGCAACCCAACCACCUGUUUCCUCAACUUCUCAGUCUCAGAGAUGUAUGUCUGUAAAACUUCAGAACCGGGUUCAGGACAAGGAGGUGUCAGGUCAUGAAGUGAGUUGACAUUUGCAAUGGGCUUUGCCUUGGAAGACCCAAAAUGGCGAUGCAUUCUGUCGAGCUUAGAGGAUCGCUUAUCUUCUUCGGUGCGUAUCUGCAACAGGAGUUCAGCAAAGUCAUGCAUAGCUUCUUUGUUUAUUUCUAAUUGCAAGAUCAAAUUGGGAUCCCAACAUCCUCUUUUAAAUUGUUUCAAGAGGUGACGAUUUGCAUCUGCUGCAUUCACACCAUUUCUUUUAAUAGCAGUGCUUAAAAGACCCUGUAGCCUCUGUAGAUAUUCAGAUGCCUUCUCACCUGGAUUUUGGUUUGUGCUCAGGAACUUAGCAAAUAUUUCCUCACCAUCCUCCACAAGGCCGUAAGCAGCAUCAAGCAGUUUUACAUAUUCUCUUGGGUGCGCUGAGUAACCAAGUUGUUUCACGACGUCAGAUGCUGGGGGGAGCAAACUUUCCAGUAUUUUUCUCCGGGUCACAUCGUCUGAAGUGCCAUCAUUAAACAGUAGCUCAACAUGCAGGCCCCAUGUUUCAUAAUCUGCUUCGCCUGGAGGUUUUGGUACUCUUCCUGAGAAUGGCCG